rnacentral:rRNA from 1 species
CCUACGGGACGCAGCAGUGGGGAAUAUUGGGCAAUGGGCGCAAGCCUGACCCAGCAAUGCCGCGUGAAGGAAGAAGGCUUUCGGGUUGUAAACUUCUUUGACAGGGGAAGAGCAGAGGACGGUACCUGAGGAAUAAGCCACGGCUAACUACGUGCCAGCAGCCGCGGUAAUACGUAGGUGGCAAGCGUUAUCCGGAUUUAUUGGGUGUAAAGGGCGUGUAGGCGGGAGCGCAAGUCAGAUGUGAAAACUCAGGGCUCAACCCUGAGCCUGCAUUUGAAACUGUGUUUCUUGAGUGCUGGAGAGGC